GGCGGACGGGUGAGUAACGCGUGAGCAACCUGUCCCAGACAGGGGGAUAACGACUUGGAAACAGGUGCUAAUACCGCAUAAGACCACGGGAUCACAGUGGUUCCGGGGUAAAAAGGGGCAAUCCGGUUUGGGGUGGGCUCGCGUCCGAUUAGCCAGUUGGCGGGGUAACGGCCCACCAAAGCGACGAUCGGUAGCCGACCUGAGAGGGUGAACGGCCACAUUGGAACUGAGAGACGGUCCAAACUCCUACGGGAGGCAGCAGUGGGGAAUAUUGGGCAAUGGGCGAAAGCCUGAACCCCCAGCAACGCCGCGUGAGUGAAGAAGGCCUUCGGGUUGUAAAGCUCUGUUAUAGUUGACGAAGGAAGUGACGGUAGGCUAUAAGGAAGCCCCGGCUAACUACGUGCCAGCCGCAGC
rnacentral:rRNA from 1 species